CCCCCCCCCCCCCCCCCCCCCCCCCCCCCCCCCCCCCCCCCCCCCCCCCCCCGUGGCUGCCCCAGCUCUGGCAUGGGCCCUGGGCCUGGAGCAGGAGCAGCUCUGCAGGGCCCCAAGGCCGGGGCUGUUGUGCUGGCCUGGGCGGAUGGGAUGGCAGCAGGGGCUGCAGAGCUCUCAGGAGCUCAGGGAGAGGGGAGCAGGGCACACAGGGAGCCUCCUUUUGCCUUGGCCAACUGACCACAUUCACUGACCACUCCCACCGACCGCAGCCAGUGACCACACUUGCUGACCACACUCACAAACCCCCUCCGCUGACCUUAGCCCAAUAACCGCAGCCCACUGAGCACACCCACUGGCCACACACCACUCCCCACACCCAUUGCCCACAGCCAGUGAUCACACCUCAUUGACCACACUGCACUGACCAUGCAAACUGAUCACAAACCACUGACCACCCAAACUGACCAAACCCACUGACCAUCCCAAAUGACUACAUGCAGUGACCACUCGCCACUGACCAUCUCCACGGGCCACUGUGGUAAUUGAAUCAACUGAAAUUGGAGACAUAAACCUCAGACCCUGGAAAACUGGGCACUGUGAAUAUGUUAAUUAGCACAUUCCAAAGUAAGUUCUCUUCCUAGCCCUAAUUAUCAGUUGAUCUGAGAGCUUUUGUCAUAAAAGGUCAAGUACUUCAGGAUUGGACCUUUGCCCUCAGCUAUUCCCUAUGUAUUGCGAACCCAAUCCCCUGACCCUAGUCUUUGGUU
rnacentral:lncRNA from 12 species